ACACAUAAAGAAUUGUUAGUGAGAAAAACAAGUAAGGGAAAAUGGAUUUGGGACUAAUAAUUGUGUUGGGCGUCGCUGCCGUGGUGGUAAUAAGCCUGGUGGUUAUUGUGGUGUUGAUGGCUUGCAGACACUAAUUCUAGAUCCGGAGAAACUAUGUUAGAUUGCUAGAACCCUGGUGGUCACAUUUACUCCGUUUUAUUUAAUAAGCAAUAUAUAUAUAUUGAUAAUUAUAUAUAUAUAUAUAUAUAUAUAUAUUGAUAAUUAUUAUAUCACUAAGUGUGGUUAUGACGAUUUUCACAACUAAUAAUGAUAAGUUUGUAUUGUUUUUAAAAAA